UUUUGAUGCGCGCAGGCCAUUCAGGUGUCCAGACCUGCUACGUCUGGAGGUUCCUCAUGCGGAGCAGGUUCCAGCCCGGCGUCGUGGGC
rnacentral:tRNA from 1 species